rnacentral:rRNA from 1 species
AUUGAACGCUGGCGGCAUGCUUUACACAUGCAAGUCGAACGCGAAAGCGGGGGCAACCCUGCCGGUAGAGUGGCGAACGGGUGAGUAACACAUCGGAACGUAUCCUCGCGUGGGGGACAACCAGUCGAAAGACGGGCUAAUACCGCAUACGCUGGAGACAGGAAAGCAGGGGACCCGCAAGGGCCUUGUGCGCAUGGAGCGGCCGAUGUCUGAUUAGCUAGNGGUGGGGUAAAGGCUCACCAAGGCGACGAUCAGUAGCUGGUCUGAGAGGAUGAUCAGCCACACUGGGACUGAGACACGGCCCAGACUCCUACGGGAGGCAGCAGUGGGGAAUUUUGGACAAUGGGGGCAACCCUGACCCAGCCAUGCCGCGUGAGGGAAGAA